rnacentral:lncRNA from 1 species
AUUGGCCAGGCUGGUCUCGAACUCCUGACGUUAUGAUCCUCCUGCCUCAGCACAAAUAACUGGCUUUUUUAUUUCUCAAGACUUAGAAGUCCUUGAAGAACAAAAGGAUGCUGGAAAUAUAAAAGAUGGUUCUCCCUUAAAACUAAAAAGGAUUCAUAAGACAAAAGAUAAAGAGAGACAUAAAAUUGGAGAAGAGGUUAUAUUGAGAGUACUAUCAAAGAGAAGCCAUGCCACAAAUAGUUUUAAGCAAGAAAAUAAAGUCUGCCAACAACCACGAGCAUGAGCUUGGAAGCAGAUCCUCCAUCCUGGUCAAGUCUUCAGAGACUACACAUCCGGGCCAAUUGUGUGACUGCAGCCUCACAAGAAACCCUGAUCCAGAGCCACUCAGCUAAGCUGCUCCCAAAUUCCUGACUCUCAGAAACUGAGAUAAUAAAUGCUUGUUGUCUUCAA